rnacentral:rRNA from 1 species
GCUUGCUUUCUUUGCUGACGAGCGGCGGACGGGUGAGUAAUGCCUGGGAAAUUGCCCUGAUGUGGGGGAUAACCAUUGGAAACGAUGGCUAAUACCGCAUGAUGCCUACGGGCCAAAGAGGGGGACCUUCGGGCCUCUCGCGUCAGGAUAUGCCCAGGUGGGAUUAGCUAGUUGGUGAGGUAAUGGCUCACCAAGGCGACGAUCCCUAGCUGGUCUGAGAGGAUGAUCAGCCACACUGGAACUGAGACACGGUCCAGACUCCUACGGGAGGCAGCAGUGGGGAAUAUUGCACAAUGGGCGCAAGCCUGAUGCAGCCAUGCCGCGUGUAUGAAGAAGGCCUUCGGGUUGUAAAGUACUUUCAGUCGUGAGGAAGGGGGUAUCGUUAAUAGCGGUAUUCUUUGACGUUAGCGACAGAAGAAGCACCGGCUAACUCCGUGCCAGCAGCCGCGGUAAUACGGAGGGUGCGAGCGUUAAUCGGAAUUACUGGGCGUAAAGCGCAUGCAGGUGGUUUGUUAAGUCAGAUGUGAAAGCCCGGGGCUCAACCUCGGAGUUGCAUUUGAAACUGGCAGGCUAGAGUACUGUAGAGGGGGGUAGAAUUUCAGGUGUAGCGGUGAAAUGCGUAGAGAUCUGAAGGAAUACCGGUGGCGAAGGCGGCCCCCUGGACAGAUACUGACACUCAGAUGCGAAAGCGUGGGGAGCAAACAGGAUUAGAUACCCUGGUAGUCCACGCUGUAAACGAUGUCUACUUGGAGGUUGUGGCCUUGAGCCGUGGCUUUCGGAGCUAACGCGUUAAGUAGACCGCCUGGGGAGUACGGUCGCAAGAUUAAAACUCAAAUGAAUUGACGGGGGCCCGCACAAGCGGUGGAGCAUGUGGUUUAAUUCGAUGCAACGCGAAGAACCUUACCUACUCUUGACAUCUACAGGAUCCUGCGGAGACGCGGGAGUGCCUUCGGGAACUGUAAGACAGG